AGGCAGCUGAAGAACUUAAUAUAUUAAAAGGACCUGAGGAUGAAAAUUCAGCAGAAACAGAUGAAAGUUUGGAGGAAGCAUGUGGUGAUGGAGAAAAUGAAGAUUGCAAUUCAGAAGGCAGUGAGGGUCAUGAAAAAGAUGAUCCUGAUUUACAAUUAGAGGACAAAACUAAUAUCUUAGACAGAUUAGAUAAUGCAUCACCUAAUAAAGCCAAUCCUGAUAAAUUUGAAGUUAUUUUGGACAAAGACAGUGACAGAAUAAAAGAAAAUAAUUCGGAGGAUGAGGGUAAUGAUGAACUUGAAGAGUUAAGUGUAUCUAACAGAGAAUAUAAGCCUUUUAGAAAUGAGGAAAGUAUGGAACACAUCAAUGAACAUUUAACUACACAUCAAAGACAAAGAAAUACAGACAGUAUGUCAAGUAAUGUUUCUUCUGUGAUGGCUCCUGAUCUUGUCAAACAAAAGGUUAAAAGACAGAUUAAAUCUACUAAACACAGGCAGGAAGCUAGGAGGAUUAGAAAAAGUGGUGAAGCAUCGCUAGUCACCAGAAAGAAGAGAGACACACAAAAUGACAUUCAACAGAGCAUGGGUGCUGUCUGGGGAAUGUGAUUAAUUGUAAUAAAUUGAAAAAUGUGACACAGAGCAUGGAAAAAAUAAAUCUUAUAAAAAGAUACUUCAAUUUCAUUAGGCCAGGGUUUUUUAAUUUGUUGGCUUUACAGAUUUUCCCAAUGAAAAAGUCGGGUCGGUCAGUCGGGGAAAAAAAAUAAAAAAAAUAUGCAAAAUAAAUAUAUAUUUCACCUUUUUAACAAUAUGUUUGUUAUGCUAUUUUGUCAUUAAUUUCUAAAUUUUAGUUAGAUGAAAUAUUAUGUUCAGCUGUCAUAAACAUUGCAUGACAUUGUCUAAUAAUUUCGCCGUGAAAAAGGGGGAUGUGCACGGUCAAAGACGAAAUAAAUCGUCAUUUCACAAACAAGAAAAACAACGAUUCGCAUAGCCCUUAAUCAUUUCCAAAACUUAACCAUCUUCAAGCACGAAAACGAUAAAGAAAAAAAAUGUAAAAACGUUGUACAAAAUAAGUUUCAACACAUGUGUUAUAAGACUCAAAACCAUAAUAAAUAGACUUGUCCACUGGAAAAACACAAGAUUUCAGGUUAAUCUGUUGUCAUGCAUUCCCGUUUUUUAUCUAAAUGGAAAAUUUUUUUUAUUAUCUAUGAAACAAGAAAAUUCCAAAUAAUUUGUUAAUAUUCAGUACUUUAACAUGAUGUCUUCCACCUGUCCUUUUUUGGACAGGUCUAUUUCUAUGAGAUGAUGCAUCUUACGGACUGAUAACAAAUAAGGGAAACAAACUUAUUGUGUAAUUGGUUUUAAACACAGGUUUCGUUCUGCAAAAUUAUUUGCGCAAAUGACAUUUCAAGGUCAGUUAUAAUUGAUUUGUCCAUUUUUAGAAGCGUAAACUGGAAGUUUUAUUUUUUCUCAACAGAAAGUGUCAUCAAUUUGGUUACUGAUUAAUGCAUUGCAUUUCAUAAAAAAAGAAUAUUUUAAUUAUUUUUCAGGGAUAAUACAUUUGUUAUGGUCGGCGGGAAUAAAAAAGCAUGAAAAGUCAAUUUUAUUUUUAUUCUGGAAAUUGGCAAAAUGGGGUCAGCGGAUCCGUAAACCAACAAAUUAAAAAAUCCUGGCCUUGUAUUAUUUAGAAGUGUACAUUUCUCUGCAUGAGUCAGUACUAAAAAAAAUCUUAAAAUUGCACUAUAUUUUGUCUUUUCAAUCAUUACAACUCCUCAUUAACUUUCAGGGGAAAUGAAAUAUUAAGUGUUGUUCAUGUGAUCAUGGGGAUAUUUAUAGAUCAUUGGCCCUGGAGUAGAAUAUGACC
rnacentral:lncRNA from 1 species